ensembl:lncRNA
GUAUUAACCUAAACACAGUGAUGGUGGGUUGUGUUUAGGAGUAGUAUUAACCUAAGACACAGUGAUGGUGGGUUGUGUAGGAGAGUAGUAUAAACCUAAAACACAGUGAUGGUGGGUUGUGUAGGAGUAGUAUAAACCUAAACACAGUGAUGGUGGGUUGUGUGUAGGAGUAGUAUUAACCUAAACAAAGUGAUGGUGGGUUGUGUAGGAGUAGUAUUAACCUAAACACAGUGAUGGUGGGUUGUGUUUAGGAGUAGUAUUAACAUGAGACACAGUGAUGGUGGGUUGUGUUUAGGAGUAGUAUUAACAUGAGACACAGUGAUGGUGGGUUGUGUUUAGGAGUAGUAUUAACAUGAGACACAGUG